UCCUCCGUAGCUCAAUUGGUUAGAGCGUCUGACUGUUACUCAGUAGCGAUCAGGAGGUUGGAAGUUCGAGCCUUCCCGGGGGAG